rnacentral:rRNA from 1 species
AACGAACGCUGGCGGCAGGCCUAACACAUGCAAGUCGAGCGGACCCUUCGGGGUUAGCGGCGGACGGGUGAGUAACGCGUGGGAACGUGCCCUUUGCUUCGGAAUAGCCCUGGGAAACUGGGAGUAAUACCGGAUACGCCCUUUUGGGGAAAGAUUUAUCGGCGAAGGAUCGGCCCGCGUUGGAUUAGGUAGUUGGUGGGGUAAUGGCCUACCAAGCCGACGAUCCAUAGCUGGUUUGAGAGGAUGAUCAGCCACACUGGGACUGAGACACGGCCCAGACUCCUACGGGAAGCAGCAGUGGGGAAUCUUAGACAAUGGGGGAAACCCUGAUCUAGCCAUGCCGCGUGAGCGAUGAAGGCCUUAGGGUUGUAAAGCUCUUUCACCGGGGAAGAUAAUGACGGUACCCGGAGAAGAAGCCCCGGCUAACUCCGUG